AAGUCGUAACAAGGUUUCCGUAGGUGAACCUGCGGAAGGAUCAUUAACGAAUCGUAUUAGAACUCCCGGUUGUCGCUGGCCUCUCUCUCUCUCUCUAUCUCACCGCUCUGGCGUUUUGGGGGUGUGGGAGGUAUGUGCACGCUGGGUCUAAACUUUUCAUUUCAACCUCCUGUGCACCUUUUGUGGGUCGCGGUCUCGGACUUUGAUCGUCGAAGUCACAUUCGGUUUUGAGCCUUGCGUCUAACACGCGCUUGACUCUUCAGUCCGUCCGCGGCUCAUGUCGUUCUUUUUACACACUACAAAUGUAACACAUAGAAUGGACUCGAGGUUUUGGGGCUUCAUUGACCCUCCUCAAAAUAAUAUAUAACAACUUUCAACAACGGAUCUCUUGGCUCUC
rnacentral:misc_RNA from 1 species